rnacentral:rRNA from 1 species
GUAAAAGUCGUACCAAAGUUUCCCGUAGGUGAACCUGCGGAAGGAUCAUAAAAGAAAUUUAAUAAUUUUGAAAAUGGAUUUUUUUGUUUUGGCAAGAGCAUGAGAGCUUUUACUGGGCAAGAAGACAAGAGAUGGAGAGUCCAGCCGGGCCUGCGCUUAAGUGCGCGGUCUUGCUAGGCUUGUAAGUUUCUUUCUUGCUAUUCCAAACGGUGAGAGAUUUCUGUGCUUUUGUUAUAGGACAAUUAAAACCGUUUCAAUACAACACACUGUGGAGUUUUCAUAUCUUUGCAACUUUUUCUUUGGGCAUUCGAGCAAUCGGGGCCCAGAGGUAACAAACACAAACAAUUUUAUCUAUUCAUUAAAUUUUUGUCAAAAACAAGAAUUUUCGUAACUGGAAAUUUUAAAAUAUUAAGAACUUUCAACAACGGAUCUCUUGGUUCUCGCAUCGAUGAAGAACGCAGCGAAAUGCGAUACGUAAUGUGAAUUGCAGAAUUCCGUGAAUCAUCGAAUCUUUGAACGCACAUUGCGCCCCUUGGUAUUCCAGGGGGCAUGCCUGUUUGAGCGUCAUUUCCUUCUCAAACAUUCUGUUUGGUAGUGAGUGAUACUCUUUGGAGUUAACUUGAAAUUGCUGGCCUUUUCAUUGGAUGUUUUUUUUCCAAAGAGAGGUUUCUCUGCGUGCUUGAGGUAUAAUGCAAGUACGGUCGUUUUAGGUUUUACCAACUGCGGCUAAUCUUUUUUUAUACUGAGCGUAUUGGAACGUUAUCGAUAAGAAGAGAGCGUCUAGGCGAACAAUGCUCUUAAAGUUUGACCUCAAAUCAGGUAGGAGUACCCGCUGAACUUAAGCAUAUCAAUAAGCG